GGGCUGCAGAGCAGAGAUAGGGGACUCACCGUUUACUGCUCUCGACAGCUUCUCGGCCUUUGCAAAAACCCUCUCUUCUCCUUCCACACCAACUUUUCAGUUCUCUCUCCUCUCUCAGAGGUGUGGUCGUGUCUGCUGAACCUGUACAAUGGGGUGGCGUAUCCCAAAUGUCUUUUGAAGGAGACCUAAGGUAUGUUUACAUGGGGUACUCAGGAAGGGGGCAUCUAACAAACUGAGAAUUUCCUAUUUUUUUUUUUUUUGGAAUUUUAUUGACCCUCAAGCAAGACACAAACUCUCCUGAUUCCUUGCUGAUAUGUCACCGUGUGCCGAUAACAAGAACCUCUGUGUCCAUUAAUUGCUGUGUGCCUUAAGGAUGGGUGUUGAGCUGUCCCCCAAUCUCCAGGUGUCUUAACUUUCAGUCCGUGAAGAUUCUUUACUGCAGACUCGGAGAAGCAGCUAAGUUGCUGUGGGCCUCGAAGUGUAAUAUGGAACUUCUGCUCCCCUUGUCACGAAGAAGUCCCCAGAAACCAAAACUAGGAGAGCGGAGCAGAUCAGACGGGAGCCGACCACAAAGCAGGAAGGAAAAAAAAAUGAGCGGCAUCCGUAGACGGCGUGAUAUCUGAGCGUUGGCCAGGGUUCCUAAAUCCUGGCCAAGUCGGCGAGAACGAGGACUCAGAGCGUGUCGCUGGAGCUCACAACAUGGGAGGAGUUAAAACAGAAACUGGAAUUAAAAACUCCCAAAACACUUGUGAGGCACAAAGUGACAGAGUUUCCUGGCCUUGACAUUCCCGAUAAGAAAGCCACAGUCACGAGACCUCACCGACUCUUCCUCCUUCCAAAGAAACGUUUGACUGCUCCAAAGUAAAAUUUCAUCCAAAAUGAAUGUUUUUCCUCUCAGAACAGAAUACAUGACUUUCUUGCCAACUGAAUCAUAACUCGAGGAGCCGUGCAUGCGUUAAACCAGUUUUCAAAAGCCAAAAAACAGGUUGUGUCUGGACUUACCUCCAGGGCCCUCGGUCGCCUCUGCUGUUUCGGAUGCCAUCCAGAAGGAAGACAGCCCAGGGAAUGGUCACCACACUCCACUGCCCUGAAGACAGACGAGAAGGAGCCAACACCAUGGGGUUAUCACCAGCUGUUACAGGAAGGCCUCAGAUCUGAGGCCACAGUUCCCUCUGGAUACAGAGCUUUUCCUGUAAAGCCGAGGUCCUGCCCAAGUGCCUGUCUCAUUAUUGGCAUUUCUGUCAUUUUAAAAACGGAGCGGACUCUUGCCUUUUUCCACAGCCCUUCCUUCUGCUCUUUAACCAAAUUGUUACAGGACAAAGUUCAUUCCAUUGUUUUCAGCUAAAGCCAAGGGAGGACGCUGACUGACCACAAUCCUGGACGCAGCUCUCAGCCUUGCCUUCCUACAGCUCUCUAAAAAGAAACUCAGAUCCCUGCUACAUGCUCAGAUUCACUUGGCUCGCUGCCCUUUUCCGCUUCUCGGUCGGUCGCUUGCAGCCCUCACAGAAGAGAGCGCAAAAGUCUCAGAGCUCUUGGUGGGGGACUUCAUCCAUCCCAAGAGUUCUCAGUGCGCACACCUACCCAAGUCACCUGCCUCAGACACUGCGGACAGCAUGCCUGUUUCUAAGAAACACCUUGGAGCUAAUUCCUUCUAAGCCGGUUGUGAAUUUCUACUCGAAAAGUUUGCAUUCUGGGCUAAAGGUAAAAAUGUCCUAUUUAGGACCCAGUUCCCAGGCCCAGUGCAGGAGUGACCACCUGACGUGUGUCCCCAAGGCCUUCCUUGGAAUGUGCACCGCACCUGCUCUUUAUUUUGCUUUGUUUUAUUUCUGAAAAUACUACUUUUAUACUGUUGAUUUUCUCUUUAUCAAGUCUCAGAAAAUGACUAAUUAUCAUUCCACGUCAUCGAGGAGUGCACCGGGCUCCAGAUAAUCCCUGGGCAAUUCCCUGAUCUCAGGUCCUUGAGUUGUUCUUAGGAGACAUUAGUGUGGUUAAAGACCUUUAAGGAGAAAACCAGAAGUCUUUUACACAGGAUCUGGGCAAAGCCCUCUCAUCCCGCACAAUUUGAAAUCACUGACGAAAUUAGCACAACAUUUCCAAAGAAGCCUCUCCCAAGAAUGAAUGCCCAUCAGAGACGUCUCAUUAGUGUUAUCUGCCUGGGGCAGCACACGUGACCAAAGCCACCUUACCUGAGAGCAGGACACGAGUGGCAGGUAGGAGACAAGGUUCUUAUCAGAUAUUACCAUCUCGGUUCCUCUCCACAACACCCGGUGAGGCAAUGCGGUCCUUAGCCCAGGUGCAAAGAGAAGCUGCCCAACUCCCUCAAGGUCAGUCAGCUAAAGAGCCAAAAGUAGCUGACACCAGGUCAGUGUUCUCUCCUCCCUCACUCUGCCUCUCACGGACUCACAAGUGUGGCACGAAACAGGCCAGGUAAAUAAGUGUGAAUGAGUCAAUCAAGCAAAGACAAAAAGUACCAGAAAAUCAGGCAGCAAACGGUCUUAAAGGGAUCGCUUUAUCUUAUCCCAGCAGCUGAGUUUUUUUUUUUCUUUCAUUAGGAUUUUAUACCCUCCCUCAACUGGCAAAGCUAUAUUCCCUUUAAGACCCUUUGUUACCUCCUUGUGGGGCAGGGACCCUCUUCGUACAAGGAGGAGGAGAGUGUCAUGUAGGUGACAGCUUACUCGCUUCUUAGCGUCUAUAAGAACAUAAAAACAUAGCAUACCAAAUUCUGAGGUUUGGUUUUUUGGUGGGAUGGGAUUUUGGUUUUGUUUGAGAUGGGAUUUCUCUGUGUCUCGCUGGCCUCGGCUGUUCUGGAACUGGCUCUAGAGACCAUGCUGACCCCAAACCUCAGAGAUUCACAUCUGCCUCCCAGAGCUGGGGUUAAAGGUGCGUGCCUUUACCACGACUACUCAGCGUGAGGUUUGUAGUUUUAGAUACAGGUGUUCGAGGACAUUCCAUUUUUGUUUCAUACCUGCUUGGAUCCUGUGUUUUAUAACAAGUAUUAGAAGAUGUAGGGAUUGAAGCUUGAUUAAAAAUGUCUUUGAAAUAGUUUAAAUUUCAGAAUCUCUUGGCAUUGAGGAGGGAAAUAAAUAGAAUUUGUAAAGAGGACAUGGUAAGUGUAGAUUUCACAACACCAUAACAGUUCUUUUUAAACUGUUGAUAAAAAAAAACAUAUUAGCUAUGGACUUAAGUUUAGAAGGUGGACUUCUCUAUGGCACAAUAGUAAUGCAUAUUUGAGGAUAAUUUUUUUGUAUUUAGAAAAUGCUCAGCUGAGAAAUUUACAUUUUAAUGUUUUUGUGUUUUCUCACUUCUAAUAACUAUCCAAAAAGCUCUUUUAUUGUGGCUAUUACACACCAAGUUAGUCCCAGAGCUCUGUAGCACACGCGCGUUCGUGCACACACACACACACAUACAACACGCAGGCACACACACAUACAGCACGCAUGCAUACACACAUAUACACAUGCAUGCUCACAUGCACUCAUACACACAAAAGCACACACACCACACCCAUGCACACACACUGUGUGUGUGUCCCUCUGGUGAUAGAGAUGGUUCUGUGUUGAGCUGGUAUGAAGGGUGCCUGGAUUUGAACUCACUUCAGGAGAACUUCGGAAGCUGAAGAUAGAAGGAACCCAAGAGUGGGCUUCAGCAGGGGCAGUGAGCAUGGUGUGGCCACGCUUCAGACUAGAAAUCAGGAAACAGGUCCAUCCGGACCAAAACAAAACAGCUUUUGUGUCUUUGGGAGACUUUGCUUAGAUACAGCUUCUUUAUGUGUGAAUGAAGUAAUUAGUUGACUUCUGAUAUCAAAUUCAUUGAAAUUUGAUAUUGAUCAAGACUCAGUAGUACAAUAAUAUUUAUUUUGCUCAGUAUUUUUCUAUAUAAUAAGCACAUAUUGCGGGGGGUUCUGUGUAGCCGUGCCUGUCCUAGAACCCGCUCUAUAAACCAGGCUGGCCUCGAACAUUCAGAUCUGCCUCCCUAUAGUGAACACAUGUAACUCUUAGAAAUAAAGCAAAAAGAUUAAUUUAAA